rnacentral:piRNA from 2 species
UGCUUUCUAGCUCUUCAGAACCC